rnacentral:rRNA from 1 species
AACGAACGCUGGCGGCAUGCCUAACACAUGCAAGUCGAACGAGACCUUCGGGCUUAGUGGCGCACGGGUGCGUAACGCGUGGGAAACUGCCCUUAGGUUCGCCUUAACUUCCCGAAAGGGGUGCUAAUACCGGCUAAUGUACUCCGACCAAAGUUUUAUCGCGUUUGGAUGGGCGUGCGUCGGAUUAGCUGGUUGGUAGGGUAAAAGCCUAUAAAGGCGACGUUCCAUAGCUGGUCAGAGAGGAUGGUCAGCCACACUGGGGCUGAGACACGGCCGAGACUCCUACGCAAGGCAGGAGUGCGGGAUAUAGGAAAGUGGGGUGAGUCCUGAACCAGCAAUGACGGGUAAGUGAUGAAGGCCGUGGGGAAGUGAAGCUCUUUUACCCGGGGUGAUAAUGACGGUACCGGGAGAAUAAGCACCGGCUAACUCCGUG